rnacentral:lncRNA from 1 species
GUACCGCCCUGGUAGUCGGAAGUGAUGACGUGGCAUCAAGCUAUUGUAUAGGCGUGUUGAUGGGACGCCUGGCUGGCAGAAGGGAAGGAAGUCGGGGGGCUCGUGUAGUCGCCAGUUAUUAAGUUGGCGUGCUCCGAUCUCCAGCACACCAGAACCGGCGGUCACCGGGUUAAAGAUGAAGUCGCCAGAUGUAAACCCAGGCGACCAAGUGAUUAGAGAUCGCUGAAACAAGGACAUCGCCGGAGAUGAAGGCAGAUAGACAUUUCCCAGCUGGCCAGAGGAUGAGGUCGGGGGACAGCUUGCUUGAGCAUACACGGUGAAACAGGUGGUGCAGAUCAUGAAGGCGGCCGGCGAGACCACAGGGAAGGUGUGUACGAAGGCACCCUAACUCGCCAAUCCAGAAGAGAUCGCGCUCCAAGACAACUAUGCA